GACUGUGCUCUGGGUGGCGAGGUGAGCGUCUGCCCUCCGCAGCACUAACCCCCGUGUGCUAUGGGUCACGUCCUGCAGCUUUGACCCCCCUGGCCCCCUGUCAGCCGGAAUGUCCUGCGAAGUGCUUGUCACCUUCAAGCCCAUGAUAAACAAGGAUCUAGAAGGAAAUAUCUCAUUUUUGGCUCAGACGGGCGAGUUUUCAGUUCCACUGAAAUGUUCAACAAAGAAAUGUUCGCUGUCCCUCGACAAGGAGCUCAUUGACUUCGGCAGCUACGUGGUAGGAGAGACCACGUCUCGGACCAUCACAUUGACCAACGUUGGGGGCUUGGGCACGACUUUCAAGUUCCUGCCAGCUUCAGAGCCCUGUGAGAUGGACGACUCCCAGUCUGCCCUGAAAUUAAGCAGUCUGCUGACCUACGAAGAUAAAAGUUUGUAUGACAAAGCUGCCACCAGCUUCUCUGAGCAGCAGCUGGAGGGCACGGAGUCCUCCCAGGCGGACAUGCAGAGCCGGAAGGAGCUGGAGAAGCUGGACAAGGAGCA
rnacentral:sRNA from 1 species